rnacentral:lncRNA from 1 species
UCCGGACGUCGGGUACCAUUGCUAGAUGGUCACUUCGAUUAGUACAGGAAUUGGUUCCUGUGCUACCGGCUUAGGUUCGAACCUGCGGGGUCACAUACAUUAGAGAUUCCUAUCUGAUCUGAUGACUGAUAUAGAAUCCUACAUGUUUGAGACUCAAUGAUCAAGAAUCAGGAUUCUCUGAUCAUGAGUUCCACACAUUAUGGGUACCGGGGUCAAGAGUCCCACUGGUUGGGACUUUUCGAUCAGGAUUACAUAUCGAUAAAUUUUGAUGCCCGAUUGCCCAUCAGAUUUGGACUCAG